CACACAUAUACAAAAUGUUUAAGUCACCCUCCUGUUUCCUACCUUUUAGGUGCAGGAGGGUGACUUUCCCUGGGGUCCAUUGGUGACUCAGGUUGAUGGGAGUCAGAAUUCCAACUCUGACUCCCUCUCCUACCUCCCGUGCGGAUCUCUGAUAGCUGGGAGGAGUGACUGGGACAGUUACUUCCUCCAAGCAGUGAUCUCAUUACAGGGGCAGUGCUGACUGAGCCCCCUGGAAAUCCAUACCCAUUGGGUGGCCCUAACAGCAUGGGCCACUCAAUGGGCCCAUUGAACGUGCAGCCCCGACGGUUUGCCGUGCAGGCCGGGGCUGCAAAACAUGGCUGCUGGUCAGCCAAGGGGGCCCGGUCACAGGGGUCUGCAGCGUGGCCGGGCCCCCUGGAGUGACGGGCCUGGUCGCAGCUGUGACCCCUGCAACCCCAAUAUGUAUGCCACUGACGCUAUAGGUCAUUUCUAGGUGGUCCCCUUUUAAAAAUGAAAAAUCAUUUAAAACUUACCUGAAAUCCAGCUGCAGGCAAAGGUUCCACAUUGAUCACCCUCCACCAUCGAACACCGUGGCAGCACUUGCAUUGUACAAUUGCAGGCUUCUCGUAGAUUGGACCAUUUUGCCGGCUCACAGCACAUGCGCACACCUUUCAUUCCAUUGACAGAUACAUGUUCUAAAAUUAGGUCUUUACAUUAUAUGAUUAUAUGGUACCCAGGUUAAGUCAAAGGAAUAUCCACUUACCCUAAAUUUCUCCACCACUUGAUACCUGGGACACUUAACCCCUUUACAGAAAUCAGGAGUCUUGUACACAUCAGAAUCUUCUUCUGUCACCCCACUGCCCGACACAAAGAGGAAGCUCAGCACCAGAAUUUGUAGCAUGUACAUCCUUACAGUUG